rnacentral:rRNA from 1 species
UGGGGAAUAUUGCACAAUGGGGGAAACCCUGAUGCAGCGACGCCGCGUGAGCGAAGAAGGCUUUCGAGUCGUAAAUCUCUGUCCUAUGAGAAGAUAAUGACGGUAUCAUAGGAGGAAGCCCUGGCUAAAUACGUGCCAGCAGCCGCGGUAAUACGUAUGGGGCGAGCGUUGUCCGGAAUUAUUGGGCGUAAAGGGUACGUAGGUGGUUUUUUAAGUCAGGUGUCAAAGCGUGGAGCUUAACUCCAUUAAGCACUUGAAACUGAAAGACUUGAGUGAAGGAGAGGAAAGUGGAAUUCCUAGUGUAGCGGUGAAAUGCGUAGAUAUUAGGAGGAAGACCGGUGGCGAAGGCGACUUUCUGGACUUUUACUGACGCUCAGGUACGAAAGCGUGGGGAGCAAACAGG